rfam:Drosophila melanogaster ultrabithorax domain bithoraxoid (bxd) gene, exon 7.
GGCGUCUGUUUUCAAGAUGGAGGCCCUUUAACAGUCGUCCCGUUUUUCCUCCAAAACGGACGCUUCACUGACAACAUGUGUGGGGUGUCUG